CCUACGGGAGGCAGCAGUAGGGAAUCUUCGGCAAUGGGGGCAACCCUGACCGAGCAACGCCGCGUGAGUGAAGAAGGUUUUCGGAUCGUAAAACUCUGUUGUUAGAGAAGAACGUUAAGUAGAGUGGAAAAUUACUUAAGUGACGGUAUCUAACCAGAAAGGGACGGCUAACUACGUGCCAGCAGCCGCGGUAAUACGUAGGUCCCGAGCGUUGUCCGGAUUUAUUGGGCGUAAAGCGAGCGCAGGUGGUUUCUUAAGUCUGAUGUAAAAGGCAGUGGCUCAACCAUUGUGUGCAUUGGAAACUGGGAGACUUGAGUGCAGGAGAGGAGAGUGGAAUUCCAUGUGUAGCGGUGAAAUGCGUAGAUAUAUGGAGGAACACCGGAGGCGAAAGCGGCUCUCUGGCCUGUAACUGACACUGAGGCUCGAAAGCGUGGGGAGCA
rnacentral:rRNA from 1 species